UUUAGUCUGCUUGAGGAGGUAGGGGAGCGCUUGGUGCCGGUUCCUGUGGCUGUCAAUGUCUCUGCCGUGGCGGAUCUGCAAGUGGCACCGCAGGCGGAGCAGGAGGCAGCGCAACGGCGGUGGACAGAGGCGAAGCACAAAUCUUCUUGGCGAAGGAGGCGGCGGCGAACAGAAGGGAGAGCUCGCCACCAAGGUCGGACCUGUCGACGGGGAAGAUGAAUCCCCAAGCACUGGGGUGGAACAAAAGGUGGAGAGUGCGUCCCAAUGAUAUCCACAACAAGUUCAGGAAGAAUCUUGGAGCACCUUCUAUCAAGGAUUUGAACUUUUGAAGCCAUCUCUGUUCUCUUUCGGCUCCGCUUGAUGGAUGACCAAAAGUAGCUUUAUAUGCCCAUGAAAGUCUCGAAUGUUCCAAUUGUGAGGGUUUGAUUGAGAUAUGGAAAAGCCACAAGAAGAAUCGUGCUUCUGUUCUACCUAUUCUCCUUGAAAUCCAAGAGCUAAGUGGUUAUUUUUCUAAUUUCCAGUUCAGCUUUGUAAGGCCUGAGUUAAAUUUUAGCUGCGCAUUUAACUGCCAAACAUGCUAUUCCUAGCUCCUUGCCGGAGUGUGCGCGGUUCUACUAGGUUCCGGCGUCUCUGAACAAUUGUAUACAGCAUGAAAUUGUUGUUGUUGGUCAAGUAAUGUAAGCUAUUCCUUCCUCCAAAAAAACAUAGUUGGGUUGCAGGGUAAAGACACCAUGCCCGUCGCACGUGACUGCCUUUUGUUUCUGAACAAUCAUAGGUGCAGCAGCGCCUUGCAGGACACCUUGCCCGUCACGCGUGACUGCCUAAAAGCCAUGAGGGGUUUUGCAUAGAACCCUACAGAGAACGUGAUUGUACCACAAUAGGUACAAGUUUUGACUCCCUCGGAGAGGCGUACAAUUUUUACAACAUAUAUUCAUGGGAGAAAGAUUUUGGCAUAAGGUAUUGGAAGAGCUGAUUGAGUGUGGAGAGGACAUAUUGCAUGCAGGAUAUCGUCUGCGGAUGCUUCGGUAAGUACGGAGUUGAGAACACAAGGUCGAGGAGUUUGAUUGCGAGUGUGGGCAGUUUGCACAUAUGGGGCUGUUGUGCUGCCAUGUUUUGAAGAUUCCAGUCAAACAUAUAGUGAAGAGGUGGACAAAGGAAGCCUACUGCCAGCACACCUGGCCCAUUAUCAUAAGGAUCAAAUGUAUAGGAAUCCAUUCUCGUACUGACACAUCAGAAUGUACAUGCAGAGGAACCUGAAUGUGAUUUGGACUGCAGCGAAGGGAAAGUUGUGAGUGCGGAUCUGAACUGUUCAUUAUGUAAUUCGAGAUACAGUUUUUAGAAUCGUAACUGACUAUGAUCCAUUUCACAUGUAUUGUUUUGGUGUUGUAUUGAUCUGCUGUUGUUGCACCGUUGAGC